GUGCUUGUUUUGACAGCACAUAUACUAGAAUUGGAAUGAUACAGAGAAGAUUAGCAUGGCCCCUGCACAAUGAUGACAUGCAAAUUCAUGAAGUUUUCUAUAUUUUU